rnacentral:rRNA from 1 species
AGCAGCCGCGGUAAUUCCAGCUCCAAUAGCGUAUAUUAAAGUUGUUGCAGUUAAAAAGCUCGUAGUUGAAUUUCGAGAUCAAAUUGUUGGUCGUGCCUUGGUACGCACUGGCAUUAUUGGUUUCUCCCUUCUGACGAACCAUGAUGUCAUUAAUUUGGUGUCUUGGGGAAUCAGGACUGUUACUUUGAAAAAAUUUAGAGUGUUUAAAGCAGGCUCACGCUUGAAUACAUUAGCAUGGAAUAAUGAAAUAGGACGUUUGAUUCUAUUUUGUUGGUUUCUAGGAUCGACGUAAUGAUUAAUAGGGAUAGUUGGGGGGCAUUAGUAUUCAAUUGUCAGAGGUGAAAUUCUUGGAUUUAUUGAAGACUAACUACUGCGAAAGCAUUUGCCAAGGAUGUUUUCAUUAAUCAAGAACGAAAGUUAGGGGAUCGAAGACGAUCAGAUACCGUCGUAGUCUUAACCAUAAACUAUGCCGACUAGGGAUCGGAUGAUGUUAAUUUUUUUAAUGACUCAUUCGGCGCCU